rnacentral:rRNA from 1 species
GAAGGCAUUUGCCAAGACACGUUUUCAUUAAUCAAGAACGAAAGUUAGGGGAUCGAAGAUGAUCAGAUACCGUCGUAGUCUUAACCAUAAACUAUGCCGACUAGGGAUCGGGCGUUGUUCUUUUUAUGACUCGCUCGGCACCUUACGAGAAAUCAAAGUUUUUGGGUUCUGGGGGGAGUAUGGUCGCAAGGCUGAAACUUAAAGGAAUUGACGGAAGGGCACCACCAGGAGUGGAGCCUGCGGCUUAAUUUGACUCAACACGGGAAAUCUCACCAGGUCCAGACACAAUAAGGAUUGACAGAUUGAGAGCUCUUUCUUGAUUUUGUGGGUGGUGGUGCAUGGCCGUUCUUAGUUGGUGGACUGAUUUGUCUGCUUAAUUGCGAUAACGAACGAGACCUUAACCUACUAAAUAGUGCUGUUAGCUUCGGCUGAACUGGCACUUCUUAGAGGGACUAUCGAUUUCAAGUCGAUGGAAGUUUGAGGCAAUAACAGGUCUGUGAUGCCCUUAGACGUUCUGGGCCGCACGCGCGCUACACUGACGGAGCCAGCAAGUACUAUCCUUGGCCGAAAGGUCCGGGUAAUCUCGUUGAAACUCCGUCGUGCUGGGGAUAAAGCAUUGAAAUUAUUGCUCUUCAACGAGGGAAUUCCUAG